CAGAGUAAAGAGAUACGCGUGAAGUGCCUGUUGUACGGGGAGUUGAUAACAGGACGAAAGGGCGCCUGCCCUGCGGUGUAUCUCUUGCAUCCCGCUGU
rnacentral:ncRNA from 1 species